AGCCACACCUUCUCUUCCAUAUCUUAUCGUAUUUCUUUCCUUCUCUUUCUACAAGCUCUGCCUAACUUUUCUGGUUCAGAUCUCCUCUUAAUGGCUUCUUCUCAAGGAUUGUGGCUUUCGCUGUUGAAUGGAUCGUUUUCCGAUCUAUUUUCAGAUGGUGGUUUCAGGGCUUGACUCAAAUAGGGACGUGUAGAUAUCAGAUCUUGUAAUGGUCGUGUAGCUUGCAACUUCGAACUGUCCAUUGAAUUGAUCUUCUGACUGGUUCGGGUCAUGAAAAAGCCAUUGAAAGUGUCUAUUCCUUUUUCUUUGGUAGCUGUUGCAGGUGGUGUAAAAGGACCUGUCACCUUAAGGAUCCGCUCGGCCAA